GAUGAAGAACGUAGCGAAAUGCGAUAAGUAAUGCGAAUUGCAGAAUUUCCGUGAGUCAUCGAAUCUUUGAACGCACAUUGCGCCCACUGGUAUUCCGGUGGACAUACCUGUUCGAGCGUCAUUAUCCUCCCUCAAACCCCGGGUUUGGUGUUGGACCGAAGUUGUGUGAACAACUGGUCUAAAAAACAAUGACGGCGUCCGUGGGACCCUCGGUGCAACGAGCUUUUAGGAGCACGCGCCGAGUUGCAAGGACCUUCCGGGCCGGUCUCCUUUUACUAUUUUACAAGGUUGACCUCGGAUCAGGUAGGAAUACCCGCUGAACUUAAGCAUAUCAAUAAGCGGAGGA
rnacentral:misc_RNA from 1 species